AACGGUCUAUACCUGCGGUACCUGCGGAAGGAUCAUUACCGAGUGCGGGUUCUAACGAGCCCAACCUCCCACCCGUGUUUACUGUUACCGCGUUGCCUCGGCGGGCCCACUGGGGCCUGGCCCCGGUCGCCGGGGGGCUUCUGCCCCCGGGCCCGCGCCCGCCGAAGCACCCUAGAACCCUGCCUGAAUAGUGAGUCUGAGUGAGAGAUUAAAUCAUUAAAACUUUUAACAACGGAUCUC
rnacentral:misc_RNA from 1 species